rnacentral:rRNA from 1 species
GAUGAACGCUGGCGGCGUGCCUAAUACAUGCAAGUCGAGCGAACAGACGAGGAGCUUGCUCCUCUGACGUUAGCGGCGGACGGGUGAGUAACACGUGGAUAACCUACCUAUAAGACUGGGAUAACUUCGGGAAACCGGAGCUAAUACCGGAUAAUAUCUUGAACCGCAUGGUUCAAUAGUGAAAGACGGUUUUGCUGUCACUUAUAGAUGGAUCCGCGCCGCAUUAGCUAGUUGGUAAGGUAACGGCUUACCAAGGCGACGAUGCGUAGCCGACCUGAGAGGGUGAUCGGCCACACUGGAACUGAGACACGGACCAGACUCCUAAGGGAGGCAGCAGUAGGGAAUCUUCCGCAAUGGGCGAAAGCCUGACGGAGCAACGCCGCGUGAGUGAUGAAGGUCUUCGGAUCGUAAAACUCUGUUAUUAGGGAAGAACAAAUGUGUAAGUAACUAUGCACGUCUUGACGGUACCUAAUCAGAAAGCCACGGCUAACUACGUG